rnacentral:rRNA from 1 species
AGCGAACGCUGGCGGCAGGCCUAACACAUGCAAGUCGAACGGACCCUUCGGGGUUAGUGGCGGACGGGUGAGUAACACGUGGGAACGUGCCCUUUGGUUCGGAACAACUCAGGGAAACUUGAGCUAAUACCGGAUGUGCCCUUCGGGGGAAAGAUUUAUCGCCAUUGGAGCGGCCCGCGUCUGAUUAGCUAGUUGGUGAGGUAAAGGCUCACCAAGGCGACGAUCAGUAGCUGGUCUGAGAGGAUGAUCAGCCACACUGGGACUGAGACACGGCCCAGACUCCUACGGGAGGCAGCAGUGGGGAAUCUUGCGCAAUGGGCGAAAGCCUGACGCAGCCAUGCCGCGUGGAUGAUGAAGGUCUUAGGAUUGUAAAAUCCUUUCACCGGUGAAGAUAAUGACUGUAGCCGGAGAAGAAGCCCCGGCUAACUUCGUGCCAGCAGCCGCGGUAAAAC